GGGAUACAUACCUUUCUUGCACUUUGAAGGUUUUUGAGAGGAAUGAGAUGCUCUAUAUUUUCUUUUUUUUCUCUCAGGUGGGUAUCUUGUACCCCUAAUUCUACUGUCGGACACUUGUCCAUUUUUACCUCUCAUCUCACUUUUUAUUUUCUUCGAGGUUUCGGGCACUUGCCUCUUUUUAUUUCCUCGUAUUCACUUUUUUUUCAGAGCACUCACCCUCCUGGAAUAAUGUAGCAAGUGGUAGUAACCAAAAUAUCUCG
rnacentral:lncRNA from 1 species